AAUGGUCUAAAUGGCGUCAUUGGGUAGUGUGACUAUGGACGAUUUAAAAACAAAACGAUUUUCUCUAAAUAUUCUAUGAGCAUGUAUUUUUACACUGGAUAAAAAAGGGGAGAGUCGGUUAUUGGUAGAGGGGGGAGGGACUAGACAGCAGGCGUAUUGCAUUCCACGAAGCUGAUUUAAUAAGUGCUGUCUGUGAUGUUUGGCAAGCCUGGUUUAUAUCCAUCUACAAGGUUUGCGAACCCAUGUUGCCGAUUUUUUUUUUCUGCUACAGAACAACUCCCUUGGUACAAUAAAAAAAGACGAGUAUUUACUUUUCAUUGAAAGUGGAAGAACCUGAAAAGGAGCCAGGAAAGAAGCAACUGGAAAAGGUGAGUGGAAAACCUAAAGUGUGUGUUAUCCUGGAAGCCAUUUGAGGUAAGUGUUUCAAGGAGGAGGGAGUGAUCUACUCUGUCAAAUUAUGCUGAUCCGUGAAGAUAAAAUGAAGAAUAAUAAUUGAUCAUGAGAUUUAGUGACAUGGAGGUCAUUCAUAACCUAGACAGGAAAAGUUCCCAUGGAGUGGUUGAAAUGAAAGUUCCAUUGCUAUGAGUUUGAGAGAGACUGAGAGGAAAGGAGUUGAAAACUUUGUAUAAAUAGCUAUUUCCAGGAGUUUUGCUAAAAAGAUAAGCAGAGAAAUGGAGCAAUAGAUUUUAAAG
rnacentral:lncRNA from 13 species